GACGAACGCUGGCGGCGUGCCUAAUACAUGCAAGUCGAACGAGAGCGACCGGUGCUUGCACUGGUCAAUCUAGUGGCGAACGGGUGAGUAACACGUGGGUAACCUGCCCAUCAGAGGGGGAUAACAUCCGGAAACGGAUGCUAAAACCGCAUAGGUCUUCGAGCCGCAUGGCUUGAAGAGGAAAAGAGGCGCAAGCUUCUGCUGAUGGAUGGACCCGCGGUGCAUUAGCUAGUUGGUGAGGUAACGGCUCACCAAGGCCGUGAUGCAUAGCCGACCUGAGAGGGUGAUCGGCCACAUUGGGACUGAGACACGGCCCAAACUCCUACGGGAGGCAGCAGUAGGGAAUCUUCCGCAAUGGACGCAAGUCUGACGGAGCAACGCCGCGUGAGUGAAGAAGGUUUUCGGAUCGUAAAAACUCUGUUGUUAGAGAAAGAGCAAAGUGCUAGAAGUAAACUGUAAGCCACC
rnacentral:rRNA from 1 species